GGAAGGGUCUGCAGCUCAUCUGUAUCAGUUCAUCUUGAUCACCAAGCCAGCUGGACACAGGACUCUUGUUCAUCUGUCCACAAGCAUAUCAGGAACUGGGGGCUCAUUUCUGGCAGUAGAAUAUUACUAUAGAAUAUAAAGAUCAAAACCAGAUACACGAGGUGAUAAGGCUAACAAGAUACUGAACCUCUAACCUCGCAGGCAGGAGGCAGAUCAUUUUAGAGAAAUGACUGGCUAUGAUCAGAAGUAUGGUCAGUACUGGUGGAGUCAUAAGGUUUUGAUCAGAAGCACUUCCAUCUUGUGGCAGUCCUUUGUGAUGGGGACUGUACCUCAUGUGGAGCCGAGAGUGGCACGGGGCCAUGUGAACAAGCCACUGCUCCAAGGACUGCUCAGUGUUUGAGGUAAAAAGUGAGGUCAGCCAGGACCGGGCCCUGCCUGGAAAGGUUGGCUUGAACUUUCAAUCUCCUGUCCUCUGGUAAUUGGGAAAUAUGUAAAAAAUGGUGAGUCAGAACCCAGCAGGAGACUUUUUGGUUCAGAAAGCAAAACCUUCCCAAGAGGAGCACUUGGAUGGUGGGUGAGCUGUGCUUGCUUCUUGGCCUGGCGAGGCUGAACCUGGAGAUGUUCUUACGAGCUAAACCCACAGCUUUGAGGACAGCAAACCCAUUCUGCUAUGUUAGAGGUGGUAGUUUUCGCUCCUCGCUCCACAAAGCUUAAAAUUCCCAUUUCCUUAGGUAAGGUAAGGAUGGAUCUACUUGCUGGAGAAGUCAAUCAUCUGCAUUGUAGAGCAGGAGAUUUCUAUGUCCACACCCCACCACACACAAAACCACUCUCCAGUAUUUCCAUGCUUCCCCUUUUGCUGUUAAGACAAGAUUUUCUCCUGCAACUGAACAGUAAAUGUUUCAUAAACUGUUCCUCCGUCUGCAAGUGGACCUUGAAAAUUGAUUAUUUUUUGUUUGUUUCUUUUAGUCUCCAAAUGUUUCUGCCAUUAUAAGGCAGGCAGUUAUUUUGCUAGGAAGGAAUGUGAAGAAUUAGAGAAGUUGAAAGCGAUUAGGGCUCUGUCUUUUAAGACAGAGCCAUUCACAAAGCCUGGCAUUCAGCCUGCACCAAGCGAGCAUCAUAAGACACCCUGAAGCCUUGAAAUCCCUCAGUUUUAAACCCCAUGGGGUGGCUUUUGCAUUAUCAGGGAAGAAAUGAUAUUGCAGAGACUAUUUUCUUCAUAUUUUAAAGGUCUCUGAGUUAAUAUUUAUUCUAAGUAGUUGUUUAUUUUUGGAUACUUUUAUUGUUUCUAGGAAGGCCACAAAGAGUUCAAUGUUAUGGAGAAAUGGUUACUUUGUAUUUAUGGUUAAAGCAAAAACAAGAAGAAAAAAGAAAGUGCCAAACAAUCCUGCCCCAGUUCUUUAUUUAAGGAGACAAUGUACUUUCCACCCAUGCACAGGCAGUGCUUUAUAGGCUGUAUAAUAAAAUGCUGUUCCAGAUAUUGUCUAAAUAGAAACAGAUUUAACCCUGCUGUUGUGACUUGCAUUGCUGGGUAAUGAAAGUUUUCAAUCUGGUUUUACUUUGUUUUAUGCUCACUGGAGAACUGCACAUCCACAAAGCCCUGCCUUAUGCACAGAGACCUGUUGUUCCAAUGCCAUCUGCUUGUGUAUGAACAGUGAGCAUCCCCCAAAACCACAACAACAACAACCAAAACACAAGGAUUUGGCCUUUUCUGAUAGGUAAAGAACUGCAGUUCAGCCCUUGAAGUGAUAUUUUCUGCAAAGACCAUGUUAUAAAACAAAACCGAGUGGUUUCCAGUGAGAGUUUAAGGUGCACAUGGCAAUGAGGUGGUGGUGCCUAUUGCUUCAGUUUUUGAUGAGAGGUCCAAAACCCAAGAAUUUAUAUUGCCUAUACACUCGUCUACUAAUGGCAUACUCAAGACUGCUGAAAAGACUCUUCAGUUUAAGUUGGCUUGGAAAGUUACCCAUCACUGUGUUACCUAAAGCAAUCUCCAAGUGUUUCUCCACAGGGGAAAAGACCUAUGAUAACAGAAGAUCCCUGAAGAUCAGAGAACAAAAGAUGGGCUGCAGCACAUGCAUAUCAGGAAAUGGUCCAUUACUCAUGAAUUGCUCCAUUUCCGUACACCAACGGGGGUCACCCUGUCACUGAGGACCAGGGAGAUUGUAACAAUAAUAUAAAUACUGCUUUAUUUACAAUUUUACAAGAAAAUAGCUUUCCAUGGUCAUUACAGAGAGACUGUUUUUUUUUUAAAGUUUCCACAAAUAAAACACUCUCAGAGGACAGUAGGAAGUUUGCAAUUUGAAGUAUUUUGCAGUGGGACUAAAGGCGUAUUUCCACGUGUCACAGAGCCGGGGCCAGCUGUUGGGACAUGAACUAAGAACUAGGAAGAACCAGAUUCUCCUCUUCGUUCCCCUACAGAUUUCCUGUGUGACCUUGAAAAAGUUACUGAGUUUCGCUGCCUUUGUGUACUGGCAGUAUUCUGCUAGCUUCCCUUUUAUACCCCAUGAUGGUCCUUUUUAUGCUCCGUUAUCCAGAAUACUGCACCCAGCAGCAUUGCCAUUGUGGUGAUGGGGAACCUGUGCCAUAGGAUUUUUGCAUACCCAGAAAAUUAACAUCUGGGCAAUGUAAGUAUUGCAUAUACAGAAAAAGCUGCCCUUGUUCACAUUCCCUUAGUUCUGUGUCGGUGCCAGCUCUCUGCAGCCUGCCCUGUGCAAUUACCUGCUCAAAAGUGGUCUGGUCCCCUUGGGGAGGCUGGAGGGGGGUACCUGUGCUCCUCUGGAUGCCUAGGAUUGCUGGGGAUUGCAGGGACUGGCUCAUGGUGCUUUUCCCAUCUGCAGGUCAGAGGUAACAGGGUUCUCCUGCUGCGUGAGAAACUGUGUGGAUGAAUACAAGUGACACUAAGGGCAGGCAUCGUUCUCCUAAUGCGUGUCUUACAAGUGUUGGAGCUAGUCACUAUAACAACAGUGCCUCAAAUUUGUGUCCACUUGAACUUCUCCGUCUCUGUAAUCGCCGAGCAAGAAUGAGCAGCCAAAGAAGUGCCGAGUUUAUGCAAGCAAAACCGACCCGGCUCAUGCCAAGAGGAGCUGGAGAGCAGCAGCCCGUGCCCCACGCCUGCUCUGCGAAGCCCCGCGGGGAUGGGGCUGCGGUGCCCGGCUCCUGUCUGACUCGUUCUGCUCCCCUCCUGUUCCCUGCCUGCACAGCCGCAAGUUGCAGCUGCAGAAAGUGGGUCCAGCCCGGCUGCCGCGGGAGGCUGAGCUGCACGCAUGUGUGCGCUCACACUGCCGGGAAGAGCUCGCCCAGCUGAAGUCCUUGAGCUUUGAGUGAAUGCUAGAAACUGAGAUGACUUAAAUAUUUGGCAGCAGCUAGGAUAAGUUAUCUUUUUUCUUUAAAAAAAUAACAUGUUAUGCAAUCAGCUUUUAUUAUAUUUAUGGGUAUUUAUUCUUUCUGUAGAUGAUAAAAUAAUCUCGGUGGAACCAAUAGGAAUGUAAAUUUAAAAAUUCAGGCUAUUGGAGAAUUAAAUGACACAACAUUUCUUGUAAAAGUUCUAAAAGCACACACAAAAAAAACCCUUCCUAUAUUUGCACAUCCUGUGGUAAUUAGCACAUGAAUAUUUUCCAUUUUUAGUCUUCGAAAAAAUACUUUUAGAAUGGUUGAAACAAGUGCAUAUUUUUCCAGCAUCCAGCACUGCCUUUUCGUAUGAUUGCUGCUCUUAAAUACUUGUAUGCACAGUUGUAUGCAUGUUUGUUGUGCCUGUUAGUUCAGUUUGGUAGAACAAAUGGAGAAAACUAAAAUAUGGAUUUUUAGCCACUACAAUGUUCCCUGCAGACAGGGCUUUUUGUACUGCCAUAGAAAUGCAGCAGCUCAGAGGAAGAACACAGCAUGUAAUUCUACAUACAUCACAGCCCUUUUUUAUUACUCUUACCACAUCAGCUGAAUGGAGAAUUAUGAAAACUAUGUCCCCGAUUCUGUAAAGAUUUUAAAAAGAGGCUUAACUUUGGACAUACAGGUAACUUCAAAGGGAAUUAAGUGAAAAUACAAGAUGUGAGUGGUUCAUGACAGGCAGAUGCAUUAGAGAGAAUGAUCUACACAAAACUUGAUCCAGAAGCUCAGGAAUUACAUUAAUUGACCUUUGUGAGCUAAACAAAAGCUCACUGGAAAUUAUGUUCAGAAGCUCAAAGUAUUUUGAAAAAAUAAAACCCAAUGAAAUGAAUAUUCAUAUUAUGGAGUGUCCUCUGACUUGUCUGUAGGCAAGGGGACUGGCUCUGCAGAAGGGCGUGGGAGUAUUGUCGUUGAUUUUACUGAAGCCAGAAUUUUGCCCAAAACACUUACUCUUCUCCUGGCUCUAAGUUUUUUUUUAUUAACUCUGACAUUGUUUCCUGCAUCUAUGCUGUCACAUUGCAUGGGGUGCAAAACCAUUCUAAAAUUAACAACGGACUUGAGCUGCAGAGCACGGCUCAUUGAUUAAACCUCUGAAUCCAUCUCGACAAAGUUUGAUUAGAUGUUUGAUUCAAGCCUACUGUAUAGACACAUCUCUUUGUACAUUCACAAUUUUGUUGGCACACCUGUUGUGGCCUGGUUGGGAAAUUUUGUGCAUGUAGCAAAUCCUGGUCUAAUGGGGCAAACUAAGCAUCGAUUUUGUUUCACCAUGUCGGAGCAAGCUAUGUCAACUACUGCACAUCACUUUGUGAUCAUGCUAAAGCCGCUCCGACAAAGAGCCACCUCAGCAAGCUGUCAUUUUAAUGUUUUAUCCAUUUUCUUUUUGUGUAUGUGUGCUCCACAUUACAGUGAAGCCUCAUCUCUCCUGCCCACCGCCAUAGGCUACAAGUCUGUUGCAAAACUCAAGUCUCAAACGUGUCACAUACAAUGAAAGAGAAAAAUUCCACCCAAAACAUUCUGAUUGCUGGUGCUCAUGCUGAAAUCCCCUUCUGGUCAGGAAGAGGAAAAGACAAGCGCGACACUGGUUGUGACACCUGCAUGGGUGCAUUGCUAGACCUUUUGCAGCCGAGAGAAUUUCCCUCCUUGUUUGCUGCAGGACACAGCACACCACCCCCAUGUGCUUGCUGCAGUGGGAAUCCUUACGUGCCUCCCUCCUGCAGCCAGACACAGGGUGCCUGUGUCCAUUUAUCCCCUCAAACUAAACUGAGCAGCUAUAUUGCAAUACUGCAAAUUAGAGGCCUUCUAUAUCAUAAUUUUAAAGCACUUUAGCUUGUUUUAUCAUUUAGCUCUUUAUUCAUCUAACUAGUUAGGAUUUUUAAGAUCUAAUCUAGUUCCCAUUAAGACACAGAGAAGAAUUCCUCUCACUGUGAAGUGUUGUAUUUUGGGAAGUCAAAACCUUUGGUGUCUGCCUGAGACAUUUAUAUUUUACAGACUUUAACAACUCAGCCUAUAGAUUUUUCUUCAUCAGUGGGGAAGUUUUAUUCUUAUCCCCAUUUUACAGGAUGAAAUCUCUUAUUCAGUGAAGUAUGUGAGCAUGUGCCAGUUUCAACAGAGCUGGUGGAAUCUUUCCAGGAUAGACUAAGUUUGCCAAAAGUGCAAUUUGAAGUGGAAAACUAUUCACAAAUUCAGGUUGAAUGUAACAAAGAGUUUUGUCAAAAAUAAAACUGGGGGAAUUUCUUUUCUCAGGAAAGUUUAAAUGUUUCAUAUCAGUAUUUUCAAAAUAAACUAUGUCAUUCUGACCUUUUUAAAGCCAGUUACAUUUCAAAAUUAACCUUUUUUUGUUCAUGACUUUUGCAAGUAAUAUAAUAAAGGAAAUAUUAGAGUUCUUGCUAUGGGAGCAAAUUGUCACUACUUUAAAUUUACUUUUGACAUUUUGAAAUUGAGGUUUUUUUUUCAGCUAGAGCUGUUUGUUGUUUAAUUUUUGCUUUAAAAAUGCAAACAAAAUGCAAACUUCCAUUCUAGAUCAAUCAAAGCAAGCUGAAUUGACCCCAAAUGAAACUCUGGGGAGAUUUUAUGCUUGUUGCACCAAAACAUUAGGUGUUUUGGGGUCAACCCCACCUGAUAAUUUUUUUUUUUUUCCAGUUUGCCAUUCAGCCACCAGACUGAAGGGAACACGUUCAUACAGCUCCAACUCGAACAGCUUAACAGCCCUAUUGUUCUCAUUUGACUUCUGUGAAGCUACCGGUGCUGGAGUCAACCACGUGCCUUGGAGUCUCACUGAACAGGCGCCUAAACAAACAAGAGAAAGUCAAAUGGGGAGACGGGCACAGCCCAGCUCCCAGCCCUGGCUUCCUGGCUCAAGACCCUUUUUAUCCUCCAGUGAAAACCAGGGUGUUCAGACAUGUAAAACCCAUAGAAAUGAGAAGGAUGGAACAGCUUGCUUUCUGCUGGAGAAAGAGGUGAACCCAGAGGCUGCUGUGGUAACAUGAUGCUCCAUGAGUGAAGACUUUCUGGUCCAUGUGAUGUUGGUAACAAUACCAGCAAUUCAAACCAAGGCAGUAGGCAGCUUGUGGUGGUGAGACAGUGAAGGUAUGGGGUUCAUUAAACAUGCAGCGUAGCCAGCUGGUCAAAAGAGGUGAUUCUUCCCCUGUAUUUAGUGCUGGUGCGGCCUCACCUUGAAUAUUGUGUGUGGUUCUGGGCUCCACAAUAUAAAAAGGAUGUUAAGGUCUGUGAAUGCAUCCAGAGCAGGACAACAAAGCCGGUAAAAGGGCUGGGAGGCAUGUCCUGUGGGGAGAGGCUGAAGAGACAUGGGUUGUCUAGUCCAGAGAGAGGAGGCUGAGAGGCAGCCUCAGUGCUCUCUGCAGCUCCCUGAGGAGGGAAGGUGCAGAGGGAGGCCCCCUCCAUUGGCCUUUGCUCCUUGAUCACCGAGGGCAGGAUGCUCUGGAACAGCACAAAGCUCUGCCAGGGGAGGUUCAGGCUGGACAUUAGGAAAAAAAAAAUCUGUUCUCUGACGGUGGUCAAACACUGGAACAGGCUUGCUAGUAUGGUUGUUGCUGCCUCAUACCUGUCAGUGUUCAUGAGGCAUUUGGUAAAUGCCCUCAGUAACAUGCUGUAAGCUUUAGUUAGCCCUGAGGUGGUCAGGCAGUUGGACUCAAAGAACUUUGUAGGUCCCUUCCAACAGAACUAUUGUAUUGUAUUGUAUUCUGUUCUGUUCUGUUCUGUUCUCUUUGUGUGCUCAUCUAUGUCUCUGGGGUCCUGGGAUCCAGAGUUUUGGGGUAUAUCUCAGAUAUACCUAGAAAACUAAUUGACAGUAACAUAAUGAAGGAGCAUGUAUUUAGGCCACAAAGGACAGUGAAACUCCAGAAAAGUGACAUUCUCUAUGGACCUACUCCAAAGCCCAAUCGUGUCAAUGAAAGGACUCCUAUUGACUUCAGUGUGACUUGGAUUGGUUCCUAAAAAUGGGAACAAAGCAGCAGACUUCAUAAAUCUUCUGAUGUGGUCCUUAAAGCAAGAAUUCAGACCUCAUGGGGCAAAGGCAAGAGAAGGGAGCUGUAAACCUUCCUGUGAUACCUGCUCCAAUAAGACGAUCCCUUUUGGCAGUGUGCUGUAUGCUUCAGCAAACAAAGUGAGUCUCUUCAGAGCUAACGUUAUCCUUGUCCUUGGGCAGAGGAGUACAGACAAUGGGCCCAACUGCCACUAUUUUAUACAUAUUUUAAUGCCCUUCAAGAAGUAUUUGGUAUUUAUACUUCCAAAUCACUGAACAGAAAACUGGACUGGAAGGGCCACACUUUGAACAGAAACCUGCUGUAGAAGAGAAACCUGCUCAGUCAUCUGCGAAGUACUAGGAGAUAUGAUACUGAUUUUGACUGAUGGAGAGGUUUACAAAACUUAGACACAAUUUCUACAAAAGUAAGACAGAACUAGAAAUAAACAAGGACCCAUCACAGAUGCUCACCAGCCUCAUAUUUUCAUCAGCACGCUGCAGAAAGCAAAAGCAGUUAAUAGAAACCUGGGUGUAAUUAUUUACCGAGUGGUUUGCAGCACAUCCGUGCCCACUGUGUUUGUAAACUGGCCAACAUUUUGACUCACAUAGGGGAAACAUGCGAAAUGCUGGAUAUCUGUCACACAAAAACUCCAGUGUAAAUAAAUAAAGCUACGUAGGACGUCUCCCACAGUCCGCACCACAUCACAACUGCUCUUACACAAGACAUCUGUAGGCACAGCAGAGAUAUCAGCGUACCGUCCGCAUCUCCAUCAUCCUUUUAUCACAAGGCUGGCGAGAGCUCUCUCUCCUCUUUGUAGACAUGUAACGAGGCCAAUGCAAAGCUGUCUGCCCAGCUCCAGCUGAUGAAGCAGAGGAAGAAAUCACCCUCCUCAGAGGUGCAGAAGCUCACCCUGUAACACGCCAGCCCAGCAGGUUUGCAGCCCUGCACCUCGGCCAGCCCCAUGCCCCACAUCUUGCUGCGCACCAGGCGGUGGGAACGGUUCACUCCUGCAGCACCAUGUUCAUGAAUCCAUCUCUUUGGAGAGUGGAUGGAGAGAGGAGGUACCUGCCUUGACAGAGAGGUGCUGGGUGUGUGUACCUUGAGGAGCAAUGAAAACCAUUCCGCUAAGCCCCUGCCGAUACUGGGAGCCAUGAAUCCCAUUGAGGAGUCCUGUUGGUGGCAAUGAAGCUUGAACAGCCACUUGCCUCUGAAUACUGCAACACACAAACAGGCAGUUCUUGUGUGGCCUUCUCCUGGGCUGGUCCUGCUCAGAGCUGGCUGUUUCAACAAGCAAAAUUCAUUUUGGAGAGGGAAUAAGGGCCGGGUUCAAGAGCCGUUAGAGUCAAUGGUGUGAAAUACUGCUAGCCAUUGCGGCAGAGAUAGCUCACGCCGCUGAGAAAUCGUUCCCUCCUGUCCAAAACUCUUUGGCUCACAUAUUGUAAGCAAUGUUUCAAAAGCUUCACAUACUUUUGGAACGUGUUCUCGAGUUUGGUAGGUGAACUGCUGGGAAUUUGUUUCUAAUGUAGGUAAUUUAAACCAACUAUUCAAAUAUGUGACCUUUAAAAAUACUGGAGAAUUUUUGACAUAUUUCAGAUCUCUGAUAAGUCUGUACUUUAAAAAAGAAAAAAGCUAAGAAAAUGUCUCUUGCUGUUUCUGUUUAUAAAUUGAGAUUAAGGGGGAAAAAAUAAACAAACUUGUCUACUUAUUUCCUUAGCUGACAUACCAGUUUUGGUCAGUGAAAGAAAAUGGACUUCCAAACAAACUCAUGACCUGUUUUGUUUUUGAAGGGGGAAUUCCCUGGGGAAUAAUAUUUUCCAAAGCCUGCUGCAGACAAGGUAUGUGCUUUAUCUCUUUAAUGCUGGUUGUUGUGAUGCUCUGAGAAGAGCAAUUGCAAGCUACACUGCAGCUUCACAAAGUUGUACUUUAACAAACCAAUGACUACUAGUGAAACACUUGGAAAAAGUUUUACAAAUGCAUUAAUUAUUAGCUGUGUAUUUUUCAUUCAGUAAUUUUCUCCCUGACCUCAUUGAUAUUUGGGUAAAUUAGUUAAUUCUGUUGAAGCCUGUGGAGUUACUUUUGUUUAUGUAAACUGUGAGGAAAAUUUUCUUCAGGAAAAAAAA